UCUCCGUUGGUGAACCAGCGGAGGGAUCAUUACCGAGUUUACAACUCCCAAACCCCCUGUGAACUUAUACCUAUCACCGUUGCUUCGGCGGGUUUUCGCCCCGGAACCAGGCUCCCCGUCGAGGGGGGCCGGCCCGGAACCAGGCGCCCGCCGGGGGACCCAAACUCUUGUAUUUCUUACCUAUGGAAUGUCUGAGUGGAAUCAUUACACAAUGAAUCAAAACUUUCAACAACGGAUCUCUUGGUUCUG
rnacentral:misc_RNA from 1 species